GACUUGGAAGUAGACUUCACUGAACUACCAUGCUCAUGGGGCUAUAAAUAACUUUUGAUUUUUGUGUGUUCAUACUCUGACUGGAUGGAAGCCUUUCCCACCAGCACUGAAAAGGCUAGGGAGAUAACCAGGAUGCUUCUCUGGGAAAUUAUUCCCAGAUUUGGUAUCCCAAUAAUUAUUGGCUCAGACAAUGGGCCAGCUUUUAGGCAGAAGUGAUACAGUUACUAACCAAGAGUUUAAAUAUCAGAUGGAAAUUACAUACUGCCUAUAGGCUACAGAGUUCUGAUAAAGUUGAAAGGAUGAACAGGACUUUAAGGCUCAAUUAGGUAAAGUGUGUCAGGGGACUUACAUUGUGAUGAACUUCUCCCUAUUACACUGUUGAGGAUUAGAUCCAUUCCCAUUAGGAGGACUGGACUCUCUCCUUAUGAGAUAAUGUAUGGGAGGCCCCCUCUCUUAUUAGGGGACUACAGGGAGACUUAAAAGAGAUAGGAGAAUUAACCCUGAGAUGACAGCUUCAGGCUCUCAACCAAUGGGUUAAAGAAAGAUUGCCAGUAAAUUUGACCACAGGUGCAUACUCCUUCAAGCCUGGAGAUAGAAUCUGGGUCAAAAAAUGGAAUAUUCAACCUCUGAACUUCUUUGGAAGGGCCAUUCACUAUUAUAUCCACCCCACUGCAGUACAUGUUGCAGAGAUAGGUCCCGGAUUCAUUACACUAGACUCAAGCUUGCAGCUGUGGACUGGGAGUACACUCCAGACAUUGCUAUGCCCUUGGGGAAAAAAAAGGAGCACUGGAGAAGCUUGAGGAUCAGGAGAACAACAGCCCUGCUCCAGUCAUUCCAGAAGCUGACUGGUCUAUGCACGGCUGAAGCUUGAGAGUACGGCCCUGUUUCAGCCACACUGGAGGGACUGGCUGAUCAAUGCAUGGUGAAAGAUAAACU
rnacentral:lncRNA from 1 species